AAUAAUGAGUGCACUUUAUUGUGGCUCUAAAAUUUUCAAUAAAUUUCACCCAUUUUAAACCCAAAGCUGUUAUGUGUACCUCUUUUGGUAUAACAUCUCAGUAGUACGCAUCAUGUGGGAUCUUUUUCUCACAAGUUGCAUUACCCCCCCUUUAUAAGUGACCCACUUUAUCAAUUACUCUAAAAUGUUUUAGGAAUGUAAAUGCCCCUUUAAUUAUAUAUAACUUUUAACAAUGGAUCUCUUGGCUCUCACAUCGAUGAAGAACACAGUGAAAUGUGAUAAGUAAUGUGAAUUGCAGAAUUCAGUGAAUCAUCGAAUCUUUGAACGCACCUUGCACCUUUUGGUUAUUCCGAAAGGUACACCUGUUUGAGUGUCAUGAAACCCUCUCAUUCCAAUUCUUUAUUUAUUUAAAGGGUUGUGAUAUGGAUGUUGAGUGCUGCCGUUAUUGGCUCGCUUUAAAUAUAUAAGUACUUUUAUCAAACAAUAAAUGGAUUUACUUGGUGUAAUAUUUAUUAUUCAUUGAGGAGUGUGGUUUAAUUACUGCAGCCAUUUGCCUUUUGAUAGAUAGCUUCCGAACCCCAAUUAUAUGUAUUUAGACCUCAAAUCAGGUGGGACUACCCGCUGAACUUAAGCAUAUCAAUAAGCGGAGGAAAAGAAACUAACAAGGAUUCCCCUAGUAACGGCGAGUGAAGAGGGAAAAGCC
rnacentral:rRNA from 1 species